CCCGAAGAUGAUAGAAUAAAGAAAUAAAAUCCCCAAGCGCCGGCGAGGCUGCCCACGUCCCGACGCACGCGUCCAGGUUCAGCUCCACAUGGGGACACUUCCACCUCCUGACCUCUCCUGGGUAAACAGAGCUUCCAUGGAACACAGUUUUGGCCUGAUAAUGCUGCAGUCACCAGCCAGAGGCAGCUGUUCUGCAAAGCAACACCUGCCCUUGCCAGUGCUUCCAGAGGAAUGGAGGAGUUCAGGGCAUCAGAUACAGAAAUACAACAUUAUUGAGACUGCCAAGGGAAUUAUUAUGAUUACUCUGCAUGUUUUGCAGAUGGUUGGCUGCUGCACAGGGUUCUCAAGAGAGGUCAAUAUCCUAUAGCAUCCAGCUUGGAUGCUGCCCCACAGACCAGCUGAGCUA